GGGAAUUUUGGACAAUGGGCGAAAGCCUGAUCCAGCAAUGCCGCGUGUGUGAAGAAGGCCUUCGGGCUGUAAAGCACUUUUGUUCGGGAAGAAAAGGUUUGGGCUAAUAUCCCGAACUGAUGACGGUACCGGAAGAAUAAGCACCGGCUAACUACGUGCCAGCAGCCGCGGUAAUACGUAGGGUGCAAGCGUUAAUCGGAAUUACUGGGCGUAAAGCGUGCGCAGGCGGUUUGUUAAGACAGAUGUGAAAUCCCCGGGCUCAACCUGGGAACUGCAUUUGUGACUGGCAAGCUAGAGUAUGGCAGAGGGGGGUGGAAUUCCGCGUGUAGCAGUGAAAUGCGUAGAUAUGCGGAGGAACACCGAUGGCGAAGGCAGCCCCCUGGGCCAAUACUGACGCUCAUGCACGAAAGCGUGGGGAGCAAACA
rnacentral:rRNA from 1 species